CCGUAAUUACAGCGGUGCAUUUUGAAACUCUUGAUAGUGAAUUCGUGGAUUACUAACAGUGCAGUUGCAUUGAUCUAUAAUUGUGCACUCACGUGUGGGCAGUAUUAGUUAUCCACGAAUGCACUAUCAAGCGUUUUCAAAUGCACCAUAAUAAUUAUGGAAAUGCCACCACAUUUUUUUUUUCUAUUUUUUCAUUAAUUUUCAGGCCUUGAUCAACCCAGAUGGAUGAAUGAGAUUAGUCCGCACUUUUUACAUGGGGCACUUGUUCUCACUUGAACCAUGUCCCUAUAUAUGUAAUUUAACAAACAAAGACAAAAGUGUAGUGUAGGCAAACAAAUAUACAAGGAGACAAACCACAAAUUGACAAUAAAAACCGCAAAAAAAUUGCCUAUACAAUUACUCUGCAAGAGCCUGGCCCUAAAACAGUGAAAGAAGAAGCAAACAGAGAAAGAUACACAACAAAAAGUAUACAACAGGCUAAAAAUAACCAGGAUCCACUUCAAAGCUUCCCUGAUCUGUAAGGAGCAUCAGAUCCAGUCCUUGCUGUAUUGCUACAAAAGAUUCAUGUGGAUGAGUAAUCUUAUUUUCAAUUCCCAUAGCUGCUGCUUUGAUCACUGCCCAAGAUGGUCUCUAAUUACAAUCUCGAUCCUUGUUUGGUUUCUACUUCCUGCACAUUAUGGGGCUUCAUUAACUCUGAUUGUGUUUCCUUGAGGUGGCUGCAAACAAGAUACUUCCACUCAUGUCCUAUGUUCACGUCCCAACAUUGGCUAUUAUGAAAUCAUUAAUCCAUUUCCUAGAACUUAACACCUUCCAAAGGAGAUCUGAUAGAAUUUUCAAAGAGGUGUUUAUUUCUAUUUCUCAAGAGCUUACAGCAGGUCAUUGCAAAAAGCCAAGCAUUCUCUUCUUUUAUUCCCCACUGAUUUUUAAUCCAAAAAUCAGGUAUCAAGGCAUUGAAGAAAUUUUCUCCUACUCCAAUGUUCGACAGUGCCCAGACAUGUCUUGCAAAGUGAGAGUCCUGCAAUAUGUGGAUUGAAGUCUCUCCUUUACAAUGAUCACAGAUAUUGUCAACCUCCAUUUUUCUGGUUCUUUUUUAUUUUUUAUUUUUCCUCUUGAGGUAGAGCAUUCUUGCAGGCUCUCCAAAGGAAAAUCUUGAUUAUGGAUGGAACCUUCAAGCUUGUUUAACUAACAAAUCCAUGUUGAAUGCUCUCAAGUCUUCGAAUCUUGUGCCUUCCUUUUUCAGAAUUUUCAUCCUGUCCCAUGCUACGCAUUUAAUUUUUGCCAACUCUCGAUUGCUUCCCCACCAGAACUGUGCUUUCAUAGCUUCAAGUUCCCAUCUGGUAAUUGUAAAUGCUCAUAGAAUAUGCUAGAACUGCUUGAGCCCCUGCCUAGGUAAGGAUUUCUUUACCUGAACAAGACAAAACCUUCCUUCCAGCUGUUCUUUGGAUCUCCUCAUCACAGUUGGCAAUCCUAAAUAUUUACCAUGGGGUUGGACCACCAGAAUGGCAAAGCACAUUUCAGAUCUGUCGUUUCACUUCCUCUUUUUUUUUUUUUUUUUUUUUUUUUUUUU